GGCCUACCAGGCAACGAUCAGUAGCCGACCUGAGAGGGUGACCGGCCACACUUGGACUGAGACACGGCCCAGACUCCUACGGGAGGCAGCAGUGGGGAAUUUUCCGCAAUGGGCGAAAGCCUGACGGAGCAACGCCGCGUGAAUGAAGAAGGCCUUCGGGUCGUAAAGUUCUGUCAUAAGGGAAGAAAGUGCCAUAUGUAAAUAAUGUAUGGUAUUGACGGUACCUUAGGAGGAAGCCACGGCUAACUACGUGCCAGCAGCCGCGGUAAUACGUAGGUGGCGAGCGUUGUCCGGAAUUACUGGGCGUAAAGGGCGCGUAGGCGGGAAUACAAGUCUGGUG
rnacentral:rRNA from 1 species